CGGACGGCGCCGCGGGCCGCGCGCGUUCCGCCGAUAAAAUGGAACAGAGCCCGGUCCCGCCGGCAUUCAUCAUCCUUCCUAGAGAGAAUCAAGGGAUUAUUUUCGGCCAACAAUCGACAGCGAGAACAAUGGUCGGCGGGGAUGUCCAGCGGGGAGAGAGCGAGAGAGGGCCAGAGGGACUGACGGGCGCGACCGAGCAGCGCCAUCAUCAUGGAGGACCAGGACGCCGCCGUCGAGGCCGAGGCUGACAACCAGGACCCCGCCGCCGUGGCGGCGCCGGACCAGCAAAGUCUCACUCCACAAGAGCCAGCACCACCAACAUCACCACCGGAGCCGGCGCCUGCACAGCCGCAGCAGCAGCAGCAGCAGCAGCAGCAGCCACAGCAGCAGCCCCAGGCGUCGCGCAGCGAGCAAGACUACCAGACCCACCUCGACGCCAUGGACACCGAGUUUAUCUACUACGCGACUGCGCUGAGGGAGCUGAGCGGGCACCUGCGCGCGGCCGAGCAGCGCGCCAGCCUGGAGCAGUGGGUGCGGAGGCUCUUCAGCCCCGAGUACUGCGGGGAGUCGCUCAAGGACCGUCGGAACAGGUCGGGCCACCGUCGUCGUCGUCGCCGUCAUCGGCCAUACCAUCGCCGGCCAUAUCAUGGGACGGCGUGUCGUAAAGAGAGAUCGCUGCUCGCAUCGCAAAAAGGCUGGUGUGCCACCUCGUCGUGUGGCUCGGCGCGGCGCUGGCGGGCGACGGCGACGACGUGCUGCCCGAGUGCCCCGCCCGAGGCGCCCCACCCGCGCCCUGGGAGCGCGCCCCGCCCGCCGCACCACCCGCCGCCUGGGAGACCGACAACCAGUGGCUGCACUUCCUCAAAGGGGUGCCGACCAGGGUGCGGGCGCGCUGCGAGGAGCACGGCGGCGACUGUCCCCCGAGCACCACGGCGGGCUGCGGCUGGGACCUGGACCAGGAGCUGAAGGUGAUCCUGCACCUGGCCGGGCCGCUGCGCCCGCACCUCGGCUCGGCGGGCGAGCGCCGCCUGUGCGGCCAGUGGCUGCGCUAUCUGAGCUCCGUCACCCCCGAGGACUGCCUGGACCUGCGCCGGCGCCGCAACGUGUACGCCCGGGUGCUGCUCGGUUACCUCCACGGCGGUGAGCUGCUGGGCCCCUUCUGCAGCGAGCCCCCCUGGGGAGAG